rnacentral:rRNA from 1 species
GACGAACGCUGGCGGCGCGCUUAACACAUGCAAGUCGAACGGAAAGGCCUGCUUUCCCUUGUGGAUUGCGGGUACUCGAGUGGCGAACGGGUGAGUAACACGUGAGUGAUCUGCCCCCAACUUGGGUAUAAGCCUGGGAAACUGGGUCUAAUUCCCGUUAGGACUGCAGGGUGGUGACUGUGGUGGAAAACGAUUUUCUAGUGGUUGGGGAUGAGCUCGCGGAUUAUCUGGUUGUUGGUGGGGUAAUGGCCUACCACGGCGGUGAAGGGUAGCCGGCCUGGGAGGGGGGACAGCCACAUUGGGACUGAGAUACGGCCCAGACGCCUACGGGAGGCAGCAGUGGGGAAGAUUGCACAAUGGGCGUAAGCCUGAUGCAGCGACGCCGCGUGGGGGAUGACGGCCUUCGGGUUGUAAGCUCCUUUCGACCGCGAGGAAGCCACCUGGUUGGAAGGGUGGUGACGGUAGUGGUAGAAGAAGCACCGGCUAACUACGUG